rnacentral:rRNA from 1 species
GAUGAACGCUGGCGGCGUGCGUAACACAUGCAAGUUGAACGACGGUGUCAUGAAGUGGUAACACGGAAUGGCAUACGGAGUAGCGGACGGGUGAGUACAACAUGAGAAGCUGUCCUUCAGCGGGGGGCAACGUCUGGAAGCGGACGCUAAUACCCCAUAGGCCGAGAGGUUAAAGCAGAGAUGCGCUGGAGGAGGUGCUCGUGCCCUAUCAGCUAGUUGGUGAGGUAACGGCUCACCAAGGCGACGACGGGUAGCCGGCCUGAGAGGGUGAACGGCCACACUGGAACUGAGAUACGGUCCAGACUCCUACGGGAGGCAGCAGUGGGGAAUAUUGGGCAAUGGGAGGAAUCCUGACCCAGCGACGCCGCGUGAACGAUGAAGGCCUUAGGGUUGUAAAGUUCUUUUAUGUGGGAAGAAGGAAGGGACGGUACCACAUGAAUAAGCCCCG